rnacentral:tRNA from 1 species
ACCUGUGAAUAAUGGGGCUUUGUCACUGACUUGUAAUCAGUAGGUCCCGGGUUCGAUUCCUGGUGCCGGCACCA